rnacentral:rRNA from 1 species
CCCUUAGAUGCUCUGGGCCGCACGCGCGCUACACUGGUCGAUGCAACGAGUUUCUUUCCUUGGCCGACAGGCCUGGGCAAUCUUUGAACAUCGAUCGUGAUCGGGAUAGAUUCUUGUAAUUUUUGAUCUUAAACGAGGAAUUCCUAGUAAACGCAAGUCAUCAGCUUGCAUUGAUUACGUCCCUGCCCUUUGUACACACCGCCCGUCGCUCCUACCGAUUGAAUGGUCCGGUGAAAUCUCCGGACUGGCGUGAGUCGGAGCAAUCUGACAAACACCGGAAAGUUGAUUAAACCUUACCAUUUAGAGGAAGGUGAAGUCGUAACA